UACGAAGGGUGCAAACGUUGCUCGGAAUUACUGGGCGUAAAGCGCACGUAGGCGGUUCGUUAAGUCGGAUGUGAAAGCCCUCGGCUCAACUGAGGAAGUGCACCCGAAACUGGCGAGCUUGAGUACGAAAGAGGAUCGCGGAAUUCCCGGUGUAGAGGUGAAAUUCGUAGAUAUUCGGAAGAACACCAGUGGCGAAGGCGACUUACUGGACACAUAUUGACGCUGAGGUGCGAAAGCGUGGGGAGCAAACAGG
rnacentral:rRNA from 1 species